GGGAGAGGUGGCCUGAAAAGGUCCUUAAAGAACUGGAAUAGCAUGUCGUUGGGGAAGCCAUGAUGGAAGCGUGUCCAGGGGGGCAGUCUGAGCCAUCUGAAAGCAGCCUGGCCCAAAUAAAGGAAGAAGCAUUCCAGUUCUUUCCUUCAGGGAUGAGUGGUUUACCAGGCAGAGACGUGCGUUAAGAAGUGGCUCUUUGUAACACGUCUAUAGAGAAGGGCCUCCUAAUGCUCCAGUACAUCGAAGCCCAACAACUUGCCUCCUGUGAUAGUUUUCUGACACCUAAAUAAUGAAGGCCCACGCACCUCAACAAGGUGAUUUUAAAAACC